rnacentral:rRNA from 1 species
UAGGGAAUCUUCGGCAAUGGGGGGAACCCUGACCCAGCAACGCCGCGUGAGUGAAGAAGGUUUUCGGAUCGUAAAGCUCUGUUGUUAAGGAAGAACGAGUGUGAGAAUGGAAAGUUCAUACUGUGACGGUACUUAACCAGAAAGGGACGGCUAACUACGUGCCAGCAGCCGCGGUAAUACGUAGGUCCCGAGCGUUGUCCGGAUUUAUUGGGCGUAAAGCGAGCGCAGGCGGUUAGAUAAGUCUGAAGUUAAAGGCAGUGGCUCAACCAUUGUAGGCUUUGGAAACUGUUUAACUUGAGUGCAGAAGGGGAGAGUGGAAUUCCAUGUGUAGCGGUGAAAUGCGUAGAUAUAUGGAGGAACACCGGUGGCGAAAGCGGCUCUCUGGUCUGUAACUGACGCUGAGGCUCGAAAGCGUGGGGAGCGAACAGG